ACAUACUCAGUUGUUUGAGAUAGUGUUGCUAUGACAACUUUAAAUUGAAACAACAUUGAUUUUGUUUCAUCUUGAUGAGGCUUUAAAUACACUGAAAGAAAAGUCAAUGUGUAAACACGAUAAAAUACAUUACGAAUCAACACUUAGACAAAUUUUGAGCUAAAAAUGUAAAAAAAGUUUGUUUAAGUCCAGGAAGGCAAACGGUAUUUGAAAUUUUUAAAAGGUCAAAGCGCGAAGUCCCAUGACUUGCCUUCAAGUGGCGCGCUUUGUUAAGUGGCUUAUUUUGUUUUAAUCGAAAUAAUUCAUGAAAUGAUAAGGGCAUGGUAUAAUGUAUCAAUUCAUAUCAGAUUUUUUGGUAUUGUAAAGUAACAAGCAGCAUGCUGAAGAUGGAAUUGGUUCAACACCAUUUCAAUUUACGUUUGGUAAAAACACAUCAAGAAUUAUUAUUUAGUUGAUUAA